CUGCUUGAAUGGUCACGAAGAAAAGGGUCAGGAUGUACGUCAAGAAAUUCUUUGUUUUUCCCUGUGAAGAUUUGACAUGUAUCGCUGUAUUGGGUCUGAGGGAGGUCGUAAAUGGAUGGAGUAGGAUUAAUAUUUGACAUUUAUCGCUGAAUUGGGUCUGAGGGAGGUCAUAAAUGGAGUAGGAUUAAUGUGAGUUAAUGUCACUUUUUCCGGUGGUGGUUAAAAAUUUAUUCUUGGUGCUGUAUUUUUGCGUUUUGUAACUGGUUAUGUGCUUUACUGUUCUAACUUUUGAACUGUUGGAAGUGAAGCAGGUCAGUAUUUUAUAAUCUCUGAAUUUGUGCUUCUUUGGA